GCGUGGCUUUGGGUUUAGGGCAGGCCGUCCCUAUGGGCCUCUCAGAGUGCCCCAUGCCAGAGCAAACUGAGCCCCGAACCAUUGCCUGCCUCCUUGCCCAUAGGCUGCAGACACUGAAGUAGGUUGCACAGUG